UUCGAGAUAUGCAAUAAAUUGGAGAAUCCUUCAUAUUCUAUCAUCAACAUUCAUGAGUGUCAAAUUGAGAAAAAUCCUUUCAAUAAUAACACAUUUACUUUCAUAACAUGAUCACAUUAGCUCCAUUGAAUGUCCAUUCAUAAAAAUGUCAUGUAACACUUAAAUUUCUCAUACUAUGCCUUCAAGGCCAUGGUCACAAUACAUUCCAUAAUUAAACACCUCCACCAUAAGUGGAUCAAACCAAGCAAGAACAAUUUUAUCCAUAAUAUGAGAUUAAGCCAACUUACCAUCCUCCAAAGCCAUAAUAACCAUUACUCAAUUCCCAACAAUUCUAUCACCACAAGGUGAUUCACCCAUAAUUUGCCCAUAAGGCCACAAUCCUCAAUUCAUCCAUAUACC
rnacentral:lncRNA from 1 species